rnacentral:rRNA from 1 species
CCUACGGGUGGCAGCAGUGGGGAAUAUUGCACAAUGGGGGAAACCCUGAUGCAGCGACGUCGCGUGAGUGAUGAAGGAUUUCGGUAUGUAAAGCUCUAGCAGCAGGGAAGAAAAUGACGGUACCUGACUAAGAAGCCCCGGCUAACGACGUGCCAGCAGCCGCGGUAAUACGUAGGGGGCAAGCGUUAUCCGGAUUGACUGGGUGUACUGGGAGCGUAGACGGCGGGGCAAGCCAGAGGGGAAAGCCCGGGGCUCCACCCCGGGACUGCAUUUGGAACUGGGCUGCUAGAGUGUCGGAGAGGCAUGCGGUCUUCCUAGUGUAGCGUUUACAUGCGUAGAUUUUAGGAGG